rnacentral:rRNA from 1 species
GACAGAGGGUGCAAACGUUGUUCGGAAUUACUGGGCGUAAAGCGCGUGUAGGCGGCUAAGUAAGUCGGGCGUGAAAUCCCACGGCUCAACCGUGGAAGUGCACUCGAAACUGCAUAGCUAGAGUCCUGGAGAGGAAGGUGGAAUGCUUGGUGUAGAGGUGAAAUUCGUAGAUAUCAAGCGGAACACCGGUGGCGAAGGCGGCCUUCUGGACAGUGACGUGACGCUGAGACGCGAAAAGCGGUGGGGGAGCAAACAGGG